rnacentral:rRNA from 1 species
UGGUAGUCCACGCCGUAAACGAUGAUCACUCGUUGUGUGCGAUAAAAUGUACGUGACUGAGAGAAAUCAUUAAGUGAUCCACCUGGGGAGUACGUCAGCAAUGAUGAAACUCAAAGGAAUUGACGGGGGCCCGCACAAGCGGAGGAACAUGUGGUUUAAUUCGAUGAUACGCGAGGAACCUUACCUGGGCUUAAAUGCUUUGCUCCCUCGGGAGUAGUUCACCGAAAGGUGACUUAAAAAUUGCAAGGUGCUGCAUGGUUGUCGUCAGCUCGUGCCGUGAGGUGUCGGGUUAAGUCCCAUAACGAGCGCAACCCCUAUCUUUAGUUGCCAUCAGGUAAUGCUGGGGACUCUAAAGAAACUGCCAUCGUAAGAUGUGAGGAAGGUGGGGAUGACGUCAAAUCAGCACGGCCCUUAUGUCCAGGGCUACACACGUGUUACAAUGGCGAGUACAAAGGGGCAGCUACCAGCGACUGGGAUGCUAAUCUCUAAAACUUGUCUCAGUUCGGAUU